rnacentral:tRNA from 1 species
CGGGGCGUAGCUCAGCUUGGCUAGAGCGCAGCGUUCGGGACGCUGAGGUCGCAGGUUCGAAUCCUGUCGCCCCGA